ACGGAGGGUGCAAGCGUUGUCCGGAUUUAUUGGGUUUAAAGGGUGCGUAGGUGGGCUAUUAAGUCAGUGGUGAAAGCCUGCAGCUCAACUGUAGAACCGCCAUUGAUACUGAUAGUCUUGAGUAUGGUUGAGGUAAGCGGAAUUUAUGGUGUAGCGGUGAAAUGCAUAGAUACCAUAAGGAACACCGAUAGCGAAGGCAGCUUACUGGGCCGUUACUGACACUGAUGCACGAAAGCGUGGGGAGCAAACAGG
rnacentral:rRNA from 1 species